GGCUGGUCCCAGUGCAGUGGUGUUUAUAACUCAUCAAUCAUAGCAGUUACAGAUUUCUUUAUUCCUUCUUCCCUCCCACUGCUUCACUUGACUACCCUUAA
ensembl:misc_RNA Y_RNA Y RNA